rnacentral:rRNA from 1 species
AUUGAACGCUGGCGGCAGGCUUAACACAUGCAAGUCGAGCGAGCGGCGGACGGGUGAGUAAUGUCUGGGGAACUGCCUGAUGGAGGGGGAUAACUACUGGAAACGGUAGCUAAUACCGCAUACCAUCAGAUGUACCCAGAUGGGAUUAGCUAGUAGGUGGGGUAAUGGCUCACCUAGGCGACGAUCCCUAGCUGGUCUGAGAGGAUGACCAGCCACACUGGAACUGAGACACGGUCCAGACUCCUACGGGAGGCAGCAGUGGGGAAUAUUGCACAAUGGGCGCAAGCCUGAUGCAGCCAUGCCGCGUGUGUGAAGAAGGCCUUCGGGUUGUAAAGCACUUUCAGCGAGGAGGCGUUACUCGCAGAAGAAGCACCGGCUAACUCCGUGCCAGCAGCCGCGGUAAUAC